UCCCUGGUGGUCCAGUGAUUAGUACUCGGUACUUUCACUGCCAAGGCCCCGGGGUUCAAUCCCUGGUCAGGGAA
rnacentral:tRNA from 1 species